GAAAUGCGAUACGUAAUGUGAAUUGCAGAAUUCAGUGAAUCAUCGAAUCUUUGAACGCACCUUGCGCCCCUUGGUAUUCCGAGGGGCACACCCGUUUGAGUGUCGUGAAAAUCUCAACCUCCUUGGUUUCUUCUGGAGACCAAAGGAGGCUUGGACUUUGGAGGCCUUUGCUGGUGUCUCUCUCUUUUGAAGGCCAGCUCCUCUUAAAUGAAUUAGCGGGGUCCUCUUUGCCGAUCCUUGACAUGUGAUAAGAUGUUUCCAUGCCUCGGUUUCUGGCUCUGUUGCCUUUGGGACCCGCUUCUAACCGUCUUGACCUUGCAUCGAGACAAUGUUCGAGCUUGUCUCCCUUUUCGGGAAACUCUCUCGACCCCACGAACCCUUGACCUCAAAUCGGGUGAGACUACCCGCUGAACUUAA
rnacentral:misc_RNA from 1 species